AUUGUAAUGAGGACAAUCACUGAUUAGCCCCUUGAACCUCUCCCAAGCUGAGUAUAAAGACUCUCCCGCUUUCUGUUUGAAGGCAACUAUCUUACUUCUGAUCUU
rfam:Nicotiana attenuata strain TT chromosome 1, whole genome shotgun sequence.